AACUUUUAGUCAGCUCCAUGAAACACAGAAUUCUGUUCAACUAGAAGAAAAAAAAACCGACACUGAAUUGUGGAUGGAGGCGGCUGGAUCGAGCACUAGCGGGCGGGUGUUUGGAAUCGGAUAUAUGGGUCGAAAACAAGUGUAUCAAGAUAAUUGUUCCAGCACCAAGCUAAGUUUGGAGGUGAACACUCUGAAGGAAACAGUGACUGAAUUGAAGUUGGAGAAUUCAGAAAAACAGAAAGAAGUUGAGAAUUGUAAGUUGGAAAUCAAUACACUCAAAGACCAAUUCGCCGAGAUGAUUCAAUUAAUGAAGAAAAAUGGACAACCUACUCCCCUAACAAAUACAACUCUGGAAGGCGGAGACGUAUGAAAAGGUAUGGCUGAAAUGUGGAUCUUCCAUGACAUUGAUGAUCUUUUUGGACUAUAUCAAUGGAUAAUUUCAUUAUUUUAUGGACAAGGUUUGAGAAAUUAUAUUUUGGAAAGUUUGAAUUGAAUUGAAUCUGAUAUGUAUGCUGUUUGACUUGGUUAUGUUUGAGGUUAAUUAUGAUGUUUGAAUUAGUUAUGUUUAAGGUUUGAGAAAUUAUUUUUUGGAAAGUUUGAAUUGAAUUGAAAUUGUGGUUAAUUAUGAUGUUUGAAUUGGUUAUGAUUUCUUUUGCCUAUUA